rnacentral:rRNA from 1 species
CGGGGGGGGCAAGCGUUGUUCGGAAUUACUGGGCGUAAAGGGCGCGUAGGCGGUUGGAUAAGUCAGCUGUGAAAACCACGGGCUUAACUCGUGGCCUGCAGUUGAGACUGUCUGGCUUGAGUGUGGGAGAGGAGAGUGGAAUUCCUGGUGUAGCGGUGAAAUGCGUAGAUUUCAGGAGGAACACCGGUGGCGAAGGCGGCUCUCUGGACCACAACUGACGCUGAGGCGCGAAAGCUAGGGGAGCAAACAGGAUUAGAUACCCUGGUAGUCCUAGCUGUAAACGAUGGAUACUUGCUGUGGGGGGUGUUAAAUCCCCCUGUGGCGGAGCUAACGCAUUAAGUAUCCCGCCUGGGGAGUACGGUCGCAAGGCUG